CCUCCUUUUCUGUGUGGGGAGCAGGCAUGAGUUCCACUCUCUGUUAUGUAUCAGGCAGAGGGAAAGGGGAUCCAGCCCCUUUCAUGUCAGAUCUUUGUGGCAGUGGUUUCUGAUCCACCGGUUCUAUUCUCAAAGGUUGGGACAUAA
ensembl:snoRNA